rnacentral:tRNA from 1 species
CUGGGACAGGUCGUCGGCGACGGCGAGCGCCGGCUCGUGCCCGGCGGGCAGGCCGAGCACCGCCGGAUCCCAGCCGGAGUCCCGCA